rnacentral:rRNA from 1 species
UACGUAGGGGGCAAGCGUUGUCCGGAAUCAUUGGGCGUAAAGCGCGUGUAGGCGGUUCGGUAAGUCGGCUGUGAAAGUCCAGGGCUCAACCCUGGGAUGCCGGUCGAUACUGCCGGACUAGAGUUCGGAAGAGGCGAGUGGAAUUCCCGGUGUAGCGGUGAAAUGCGCAGAUAUCGGGAGGAACACCAAUGGCGAAGGCAGCUCGCUGGGACGUUACUGACGCUGAGGCACGAAAGCGUGGGGAGCAAACAGGG